UAGGGAAUCUUCGGCAAUGGCCGAAAGUCUGCCCGAGCAACGCCGCGUGAGUGAAGAAGGUUUUCGGAUCGUAAAACUUUGUUGUUAGAGAAGAACAAGGACGUUAGUAACUGAACGUCCCCUGACGGUAUCUAACCAGAAAGCCACGGCAAACUACGUGCCAGCCGCCGCGGUAAUACGUAGGUGGCAAGCGUUGUCCGGAUUUAUUGGGCGUAAAGCGAGCGCAGGCGGUUUCUUAAGUCUGAUGUGAAAGCCCCCGGCUCAACCGGGGAGGGUCAUUGGAAACUGGGGGACUUGAGUGCAGAAGAGGAGAGUGGAAUUCCAUGUGUAGCGGUGAAAUGCGUAGAGAUCUGGGGGAAUACCGGUGGCGGAGGCGGCCCCCUGGACGAAGACUGACGCUCAGGUGCGAAAGCGUGGGGGGCAAACAGG
rnacentral:rRNA from 1 species